AUUUAUAUGAUUAUACUUUUUUCCAAUAUACCAAUUGUUCCGACUGAAUAGUUGGAUUUUCUAUGUGUCGACAACCUUUUUUUCGUUAAGUUUCAGCCUUGUAUGAAAAUU
rnacentral:snoRNA from 1 species